rnacentral:rRNA from 1 species
ACGAACGCUGGCGGCGUGGAUAAGACAUGCAAGUCGAGCGCUGAUUACGGGGUAGCAAUAUUCCGUAGUUGGAGCGGCGCAAGGGUGCGUAACACGUGGGUAAUCUGCCAUGAAGUUUGGGAUAACUCGCUGAAAGGCGAGCUAAUACCGGAUGUGAAAAUUGGGAGGCCUCUCUUGAUUUUCAAAGUUGGGGACCGUAAGGCCUGACGCUUCAUGAUGAGCCCGCGGCCUAUCAGCUAGUUGGUGAGGUAACGGCUCACCAAGGCUAAGACGGGUAGCUGGUCUGAGAGGACGACCAGCCACACUGGAACUGAGACACGGUCCAGACACCUACGGGUGGCAGCAGUCGAGAAUUUUUCACAAUGGGCGAAGGCCUGAUGGAGCGACGCCGCGUGGGGGAUGAAUGGCUUCGGCCCGUAAACCCCUGUCAUUUGCGAUCAACCCUCAUUAUUUAAAAGAUGAUGAGCUGAUAGUAGCGAAAGAGGAAGGGACGGCUAACUCUGUGCCAGCAGCCGCGGUAAUACAGAGGUCCCAAGCGUUGUUCGGAUUCACUGGGCGUAAAGGGUGCGUAGGUGGUGGGGUAAGUCGGAUGUGAAAUCUCCGAGCUCAACUCGGAAAUGGCAUUGGAAACUACCCUGCUAGAGGGUCGGAGGGGGGACUGGAAUACUUGGUGUAGCAGUGAAAUGCGUAGAUAUCAAUGGAGGAACACCGGUGGCGAAGGCGGCUUCCUGGACGAAUACCUGACACUGAGGCACGAAAGCUAGGGGAGCAAACAGGAUUAGAUACCCUGGUAGUCCUAGCCCGUAAACGGUGGAUACGUUGCUGUAAGGGGGGAAUUGACCCCUUGUGGCGUAAGCUAACGCAGUUAAAGUAUCCGCCUGGGGAAGUACGGUCGCAAGGCUUAAACUCAAAGGAAUUGACGGGGGCCCGCACAAGCGGUGGAGUAUGUGGUUAAUUCGACGCAACGCGAAGAACCUUACCUGGGCCUCGAACGGCUAGUAGACAGGAGAUGAAAGUUCUUUGCCCGCAGGGAGCAAUUACAGUCGAAGGUGCUGCAUGGCUGUCGUCAGCUCGUGUCGUGAGAUGUUGGGUUAAGUCCCGCAACGAUGCGCAACCCCUGUCCUUAGUUGCUAACCCGGAGAGUGGUGAGCACUCUAGAAGGGACUGCUCGGUGAAAACGCGGAGGAAGGUGGGGAUGACGUCAAGUCCGUCAUGGCCCUUAUGGCCAGGGCUACACACGUACUACAAUGGCCGGUACAAAGGAUCGCAAGACCUGUCGAGGGGAGCCAAUCUCCAAAAAGCCGGUCUCAGUUCGGAUUGGAGUCUGCAACUCGACUCCAUGAAGCUGGAAUCGCUAGUAAUCGCUGAUCAGCAAGCAGCGGUGAAUACGUUCCCGGGCCUUGUACACACCGCCCGUCACAUCACGAAAGCCCGUUGUACUAGAAGCCGGUGAUUCAACCGCAAGGAGAUAGCCGUCCAAGGUAUGACUGGUGAUUGGGGUG